AAGACCUUGCGCUUUUGGAGCGGCCGAUGCCUGAUUAGCUUGUUGGUAAGGUAAAAGCUUACCAAGGCUUCGAUCAGUAGCUGGUCUGAGAGGACGGCCAGCCACACUGGGACUGAGACACGGCCCAGACUCCUACGGGAGGCAGCAGUGGGGAAUUUUGGACAAUGGGGGCAACCCUGAUCCAGCCAUGCCGCGUGAGUGAAGAAGGCCUUCGGGUUGUGAAGCUCUUUCAGCCGGAACGAAACGGUUACGGUUAAUACCCGUGAUUACUGACGGUACCGGAAGAAGAAGCACCGGCUAACUACGUGCCAGCAGCCGCGGUAAUACGUAGGGUGCGAGCGUUAAUCGGAAUUACUGGGCGUAAAGCGUGCGCAGGUGGUUUUGUAAGUCAGAUGUGAAAGCCCCGGGCUCAACCUGGGAACU
rnacentral:rRNA from 1 species